ensembl:snoRNA
AACCUGUAUAUGAUGAUCCUUUUGAUGUGUUCAUGCACGCGUGUGUGAGGUGAGCCAGCCUUGAACCUUGUUAUGACAUUGGCACAUUACCCAUCUGACA